CCCGCCUGGGGAGGGGACAGGGUAAGACCCUCAGCCCAUGGAGUCCUGUGUGAUGUUGUGAGCGUGGGAGGACAGACUGAACUGCUCGGCCCGUGGAGUCCUGUGUGAUGUUGUGAGCGGGGAGGACAGACUGAACUGCGUGGUGCUUCGCACAUAGACCUCAACAGGGAUUGGCAUUUUGAAGCUGUUGGCGGGGGCUGUGGACUGCUUUUCUUCCUUUCUAGCUCAACGGCAGCUAAAGCCACUGCAUACAAUGCAAGGACUGGCUCCUGUUUGGCCACGACUGAUUGCAGCCCCUGGUGAAAUGAGAACCCUGUGGGUCGG
rnacentral:lncRNA from 1 species